UACUCCUACGGGAGGCAGCAGUGGGGAAUAUUCCACAAUGGGCGCAAGCCUGAUGGAGCAACGCCGCGUGUGUGAUGAAGGCUUUAGGGUCGUAAAGCUCUGCAUCGGGGAAGAACUGAUUUAAUAGGGAAUGUCACUCAUUGACGUACCUCUCANAGCCCGA
rnacentral:rRNA from 1 species